UUUCGAACACAUAACAACUGGAGAGUCACCUACCACCCCUGUGGCGCUUAACCUGGCGCAGCAUUUAGCAGACUGUCCAAACAUAUUUCUUGAAAUAUUGAAGACUGUGUUGGAGAUUGUUUUAUUUGAAGAUUGUGGCAACCAGUGGAGCCUAAGUCGACCGAUGCUGAGUAUGAUACUCAUUAGCGAAGAGAUGUUCUCAAACUUAAGAGCUCAGAUUUUGUCUUCACAGCCAGCAGACCAACAACACCGUCUUUCACUGUGCUUUGACAAACUUAUGGCUGACAUAACUCGAAGCUUGGAUCAGAAGAACAGAGAUAAGUUCUCCCACAAUCUGACUAGAUUCAGGAAUGAGUUCCGAACCAGAUAAUCAGAGUGAUAUCAGCAAGUGGUGAAUCCCUUUAAACAUACAUACCAGCCUUCCCUGCGCCUACCCAAGCACAUACAAAAAGAAAAGACGUAACAGGGGAAGGGAGAGCCAAGGAAAAACAAACAUGAAAAAUAAUUUCAAGAAAAAUGAAAUAGUGAAGUUGGCUGAAGUUUUGUUCUCCCUUUGUUUUUCCCCAGCUGGUGAAAUGCAUUCUGUGAGGUGAUUCUGUCACUUUUUGCUAAAUCCGUGCUGUAAUUUUUAUCACAACAGUGUACAGUCCAACAACAGAAGAUCUUUCUUUUUGCUAUUAAGAAUUUGUAGCAUCUUGCUAGAUUAUAAGAAUCUAUUGGUGUAAUGGUAUUGCCUAUGCAUUAGCUAUAGAAUAGUUUCAUACUAAUGAA
rnacentral:misc_RNA from 1 species